UGGGGAAUUUUGCACAAUGGGGGAAACCCUGAUGCAGCGACGCCGCGUGAUUUAGAAGGCCUUCGGGUUGUAAAAAUCUUUUCUAUGGGAAGAAAAUGACAGUACCAUAGGAAUAAGGACCGGCUAAUUACGUGCCAGCAGCCGCGGUAAUACGUAAGGUCCGAGCGUUGUCCGGAAUCAUUGGGCGUAAAGGGUACGUAGGCGGGUAAGCAAGUUAGAAGUGAAAUCCUAUAGCUCAACUAUAUUAAGCUUUUAAAACUGCUCAUCUUGAGGUAUGGAAGGGAAAGUGGAAUUCCUAGUGUAGCGGUGAAAUGCGCAGAUAUUAGGAGGAAUACCGGUGGCGAAGGCGACUUUCUGGCCAUAACCUGACGCUGAGGUACGAAAGCGUGGGUAGCAAACAGG
rnacentral:rRNA from 1 species